GGGUGCGAUUAUAGUAGCGUUAAUGGACUGGAUCCCAUAAGAACUCCGCAGUUAAGCGGGCUUGGGCUAGAGUAGUAUUGGGAUGGGUGACCUCUCGGGAAGUCGUAGUCUUGUAUCCU
rnacentral:rRNA from 1 species